AACGCGAAGAACCUUACCUGGUCUUGACAUCCACGGAAGUUUUCAGAGAUGAGAAUGUGCCUUCGGGAACCGUGAGACAGGUGCUGCAUGGCUGUCGUCAGCUCGUGUUGUGAAAUGUUGGGUUAAGUCCCGCAACGAGCGCAACCCUUAUCCUUUGUUGCCAGCGGUCCGGCCGGGAACUCAAAGGAGACUGCCAGUGAUAAACUGGAGGAAGGUGGGGAUGACGUCAAGUCAUCAUGGCCCUUACGACCAGGGCUACACACGUGCUACAAUGGCGCAUACAAAGAGAAGCGACCUCGCGAGAGCAAGCGGACCUCAUAAAGUGCGUCGUAGUCCGGAUUGGAGUCUGCAACUCGACUCCAUGAAGUCGGAAUCGCUAGUAAUCGUGAAUCAGAAUGCCACGGUGAAUACGUUCCCGGGCCUUGUACACACCG
rnacentral:rRNA from 1 species